rnacentral:rRNA from 1 species
GAUGAACGCUGGCGGCGUGCUUAACACAUGCAAGUCGAACGGGAAUUAUUUUAUUGAAACUUCGGUCGAUUUAAUUUAAUUCUAGUGGCGGACGGGUGAGUAACGCGUGGGUAACCUGCCUUAUACAGGGGGAUAACAGUCAGAAAUGGCUGCUAAUACCGCAUAAGCGCACAGAGCUGCAUGGCUCAGUGUGAAAAACUCCGGCGGUAUAAGAUGGACCCGCGUUGGAUUAGCUGGUUGGUGGGGUAACGGCCCACCAAGGCGACGAUCCAUAGCCGGCCUGAGAGGGUGAACGGCCACAUUGGGACUGAGACACGGCCCAGACUCCUACGGGAGGCAGCAGUGGGGAAUAUUGCACAAUGGGGGAAACCCUGAUGCAGCGACGCCGCGUGAAGGAAGAAGUAUCUCGGUAUGUAAACUUCUAUCAGCAGGGAAGAUAGUGACGGUACCUGACUAAGAAGCCCCGGCUAACUACGUG